AGAAGAUUGUGGAAGAACUGCUACAGUAUGAAAUCUUGACAGGAAGGGAUCUCGAAAGAAUUAUUGCAGACAAUGGUGGGAUUCGAGAAAGAGAGCCAUUUUUUCUUUCAAGUACCAGUGCUGAAGAGGCCGUGGUUAGUAGACUUCUCGAUGAAAAAUCAUCGGGUACUGCACUUUUAAAUGCCGCCAACUAGUGUCGAAAAAGAUGUCGGUCGAGUUUCAUGUGCGCUUGGAUGCUAGUCGUUCCACCGGAUAUAUUUAUAAUACAGGCAUAAUUCAAGCGUAGGGCUGACGAGAUUUUUCAAUUUUCCUUCACAAUACUUUUUGGUUUUUCUCCCAGUGUUGUUUGUACAUAAUUAUGUAUUCUAAUGACAUGUUUGGUAAGGUAGAGUGGAAAACGAUAGAUUAUGCAUUUAUGAUUGAUAUGUAAUAAAUAUUUGGAGCAAAUAAAAAACACACCCCCUCCCUU